AUUGAACGCUGGCGGCAUGCUUUACACAUGCAAGUCGAACGGUGACAGGCCGCCAGGUGCUGACGAGUGGCGAACGGGUGAGUAAUGCAUCGGAACGUGCCCAGUCGUGGGGGAUAACUACUCGAAAGAGUAGCUAAUACCGCAUACGAUCUAUGGAUGAAAGCGGGGGACCGUAAGGCCUCGCGCGAUUGGAGCGGCCGAUGUCAGAUUAGGUAGUUGGUGGGGUAAAGGCUCACCAAGCCAACGAUCUGUAGCUGGUCUGAGAGGACGACCAGCCACACUGGGACUGAGACACGGCCCAGACUCCUACGGGAGGCAGCAGUGGGGAAUUUUGGACAAUGGGCGCAAGCCUGAUCCAGCAAUGCCGCGUGCAGGAAGAAGGCCUUCGGGUUGUAAACUGCUUUUGUACGGAACGAAACGGCUCUGGUUAAUACCCGGGGCUAAUGACGGUACCGUAAGAAUAAGCACCGGCUAACUACGUG
rnacentral:rRNA from 1 species